AGUGAACGCUGGCGGUAUGCCUAACACAUGCAAGUCGAACGGCAGCACAGUAAGAGCUUGCUCUUACGGGUGGCGAGUGGCGGACGGGUGAGGAAUACAUCGGAAUCUACUUUUUCGUGGGGGAUAACGUAGGGAAACUUACGCUAAUACCGCAUACUACCUACGGGUGAAAGCAGGGGAUCUUCGGACCUUGCGCGAUUGAAUGAGCCGAUGUCGGAUUAGCUAGUUGGCGGGGUAAAGGCCCACCAAGGCGACGAUCCGUAGCUGGUCUGAGAGGAUGAUCAGCCACACUGGAACUGAGACACGGUCCAGACUCCUACGGGAGGCAGCAGUGGGGAAUAUUGGACAAUGGGCGAAAGCCUGAUCCAGCCAUACCGCGUGGGUGAAGAAGGCCUUCGGGUUGUAAAGCCCUUUUGUUGGGAAAGAAAAGCAGCAGGUUAAUACCCCGCUGUUCUGACGGUACCCAAAGAAUAAGCACCGGCUAACUUCGUG
rnacentral:rRNA from 1 species